rnacentral:rRNA from 1 species
AUAGCCUAACGGCUGAACCAGCAACUUGGAGGAAUGUAUAGCUAAAGCUAAAUGUAUUAUGUAAUAAUACAGAUUCGAUUUAUUCGUAUAAAGUUCUAGAUAGAAUUAUGAUAAUGACAUUGUCUAUCUAUAUGUCUUGACCAAAUUACGUGCCAGCAGUCGCGGUAAGACGUAGGAGACUAGUGUUAUUCAUAUUUAAUAGGUUUAAAGCGUACCUAGACGGUAAAUCAAGCCUUAACCGGGACUAAUUUAACUAGAGUUAGAUGUAAGGGUGCAUAAACGUACUGUUGAGUGUAGAGAUGAAAUUCUGUUAUACCAGAUUAUUGGCACGGGUUUAGGCGAAAGCAUCGCCUUAUGUAAUAACUGACGUUGAGGGACGAAGGCUUUGUGUCGCGAACAGGAUUAGGUACCCCAGUAGUCUAAGCAGAAAAUGAUGAGUGUCAUAGGUUAAAUAUUAUUUGGUCUAUAAAUGAAAGUGUAAGCAUUCCACCUCAAGAGUAAUUUGGCAACAUUGGAAUUGAAAUCAUUAGACCGUUUCUGAAACCAGUAGUGAAGUAUGUUGUUUAAUUAGAUAUUACACAAAGAACCUUACCACAACUUGUAUAUUUUACAAGCGUUGCACGGCUGUCUUCAGUUAAUGUCGUGAGAUUUUGGUUAGUUCCAUUAAAUUAACGUAAACCCUUACUUUAUUUUAUUUUUAUAUAAAGUUGUUCGCCGCUAGAUUGGUUAGAUAAAAGGGACUAAGACAAGUCAUCAUGACCUGAAUGUUGU